rnacentral:rRNA from 1 species
CCCACUAUGCUUAGCAGUAAACCAAGACAUAACCCUAACCACCAUGUCCGCCAGAAGACUACAAGUGAUAAACUUGAAAUUCAAAGGACUUGACGGUGCCCCACAUCACCCUAGAGGAGCCUGUCCUAUAAUCGAUAACCCCCGCUAUACCCAACCUGCUCUAGAUUAACCACAGCCUAUAUACCGCCGUCUUCAGCCCACCUUGUGAAAGAAACCAAGUGGGCACAAUAGGAAACCCCCUAAAACGCCAGGUCAAGGUGUAGCUAAUGAGCAGGUAAGCGAUGGGCUACAUUGUCUAACUUAGAACCCCCGCCCGAGCCACGAACGUGACACCAAAAGACGGAUUUAGUAGUAAAUUAAACAAACCUGUUUAAUUGAAAUUU